CGCGUAGUUAGCCGGUGCUUCUUAUCUACCUACCGUCACCACAAGUGGCUUCGUCGAUAGCGAAAGGAGUUUACAACCCGAAGGCCUUCAUCCCCCACGCGGCGUCGCUGCAUCAGGCUUGCGCCCAUUGUGCAAUAUUCCCCACUGCUGCCUCCCGUAGGAGUCUGGGCCGUAUCUCAGUCCCAAUGUGUCCGUACACCCUCUCAGGCCGGAUACCCGUCGCCGCCUUGGUAGGCCAUUACCCCACCAACAAGCUGAUAGGCCGCAGGCUCAUCCCACACCGCAAAGCUUUCCACCACACCAUCCAAAGUGCGGUCCUAUAUGGUAUUAGACCCAGUUUCCCAGGCUUAUCCCACAGUGCAGGGCAGAUCACCCACGUGUUACUCACCCGUUCGCCACUCGAGUACCUCUAGCAAGCUAGAGGCCUUUCCGUCGACUUGCAUGUGUUAAGCACGCCGCCAGCGUUCAUCCUGAGCCAGGAUCAAACUCU
rnacentral:rRNA from 1 species